GCCUACGGGGGCAGCAGUGGGGAAUAUUGCACAAUGGGGGAAACCCUGAUGCAGCAAUGCCGCGUGAGUGAUGACGGCCUUCGGGUUGUAAAGCUCUGUCUUCAGGGACGAUAAUGACGGUACCUGAGGAGGAAGCCACGGCUAACUACGUGCCAGCAGCCGCGGUAAUACGUAGGUGGCGAGCGUUGUCCGGAUUUACUGGGUGUAAAGGGCGUGUAGCCGGGCCGGCAAGUCAGAUGUGAAAUCCCAAGGCUCAACCUUGGAACUGCAUUUGAAACUGUUGGUCUUGAGUAUCGGAGAGGCAG
rnacentral:rRNA from 1 species